UAAUACGGAGGGUGCAAGCGUUGUUCGGAUUUAUUGGGCGUAAAGCGAGUGUAGGCGGUUUGACAAGUCGGAUGUGAAAGCCCAGGGCCCAACCCUGGAAUUGCACCCGAUACUGUCAGGCUAGAGUUCCGGAGAGGGUGGCGGAAUUCCCGGUGUAGGGGUGAAAUCCGUAGAUAUCGGGAGGAACACCAGUGGCGAAGGCGGCCACCUGGACGGUGACUGACGCUGAGACUCGAAAGCGUGGGUAGCAAACAGGAUUAGAUACCCUGGUAGUCCACGCCGUAAACGGUGAGUGCCCGUCGUAGUGGGUAUUGACCCCUGCUGUGACCAAGCUAACGCAUGAAGCACUCCGCAUGGGAAGUACGGUCGCAAGACUA
rnacentral:rRNA from 1 species